AUGGGACUCCUCCUGCUUUCACGCGCGCGGAUGAGGGACACCCUGCUCUGGCUCCGAUCGGCGAUCGACUAUGGGGUUCAGGAGCAGCAGCAGCCGGACGACGCCACAGCGAGCAGCGAUGCCAGCAGCGCAACAACGGUGGACCCGGCAGAGUGGAGUCGUGUCCUGCGAGAAGCGGGCUCAGCAGGGCGCCACGCUAUGCGGCCAUGUCGGAAGAUUCUGUGGAUUGCCAAAGGGGAGGAGACAGGAGGAGAGGACUCUUCAGAUGGUGAGAGUUUGGGGAUCUUGCUUCAAUUGGCCCUCAAAUUGCAACCAAGAUUAGAGCUGCCUGCCUCGAUGUGCCAAGACGGGCAAGGACACCAAGCGGGGAGGGACAUCGCCCAACACAUGUCAGUUCUGAGAUCCUUCUGGGCACUAUUUCAAUAA
rnacentral:rRNA from 1 species